UUUUAUAAUUUAGAGCAUGUUACAACUAAAAAAUGUAUGAUAUAUAAGAUUAAUAUGAUAUUUAUGGGCCAAAUGUUGCUAGAAAUUAUAUGUGUUAUUUCAACUGGAAUUGGGUAUUGCCUUUAUAAAACACAUGGAUAUACAGGAGCUAAAAAGUAAGGACUAAGAUUAAUACUAGAAGAAACUAUUGAUUAUGAUUGAAGCGAUUUUGAAAUACUGUUGAUUGUUUAUUAACAAAGGUGCAUUCACAUUAAUAUAGUGACAGCCUAACUAAAAUUUGAUUGACAAAUGUUUUGUUAAUCCAGAAUCAGUGGCAAUCAAUAUACAAAUACAAAUAAACACUAGUGUGCAAAUUAUUAAUAUUAUGGAUGGGAUUUAACACCAAUUGAUGAAUAAA